rnacentral:lncRNA from 1 species
GCAGAAAAAAUAGAAGUGCAAACAUAAAUAGAACAAAAGGUGAGGAGGCAGCUACUGCAUUAGGAGACAGAUAAUACAAGAAGUAUUUCAACGGUUAACCAUGAAGCCACAUUUGUCAAGAGUUCAGACCAAAUAAAGAUAGAAACUACUCCAGUACUGCUUUCAACUGAAGGUAGAAACUUCAGAGUUCAUAUCAAAUCCAGUUGCUAGCUUGAGACAACAAAGUGGAGGCAUGGUUACACCU